rnacentral:rRNA from 1 species
GACGAACGCUGGCGGCGUGCUUAACACAUGCAAGUCGAACGGAAAGGCCUGCUUUCCCUUGUGGAUUGCGGGUACUCGAGUGGCGAACGGGUGAGUAACACGUGAGUGAUCUGCCCCCAACUUGGGUAUAAGCCUGGGAAACUGGGUCUAAUUCCCGAUAGGACUGCAGGGUGGUGCCUGUGGUGGAAAACGAUUUUCUAGUGGUUGGGGAUGAGCUCGCGGCCUAUCAGCUUGUUGGAGGGGUAAUGGCCUACCAAGGCGGCGACGGGUAGCCGGCCUGGGAGGGUGGACGGCCACAUUGGGACUGAGAUACGGCCCAGACGCCUACGGGAGGCAGCAGUGGGGAAUAUUGCACAAUGGGCGGAAGCCUGAUGCAGCGACGCCGCGUGGGGGAUGACGGCCUUCGGGUUGUAAACUCCUUUCGACCGCGAGGAAGCCACCUGGUUGGAAGGGUGGUGACGGUAGUGGUAGAAGAAGCACCGGCUAACUACGUG